rnacentral:rRNA from 1 species
GACGAACGCUGGCGGCGUGCUUAACACAUGCAAGUCGAACGGAAAGGCCCUGCUUUUGUGGGGUGCUCGAGUGGCGAACGGGUGAGUAACACGUGAGUAACCUGCCCUUGACUUUGGGAUAACUUCAGGAAACUGGGGCUAAUACCGGAUAGGAGCUCCUGCUGCAUGGUGGGGGUUGGAAAGUUUCGGCGGUUGGGGAUGGACUCGCGGCUUAUCAGCUUGUUGGUGGGGUAGUGGUUUACCAAGGCUUUGACGGGUAGCCGGCCUGGGAGGGUGACCGGCCACAUUGGGACUGAGAUACGGCCCAGACUCCUACGGGAGGCAGCAGUGGGGAAUAUUGCACAAUGGGCGGAAGCCUGAUGCAGCAACGCCGCGUGCGGGAUGACGGCCUUCGGGUUGUAAACCGCUUUCGCCUGUGACGAAGCGUGAGUGACGGUAAUGGGUAAAGAAGCACCGGCUAACUACGUG